AGUGGGUUGGGGCCGCCGCUAGGGGUUCUCCCCUCGCUAGGUCCCCACCAGGCGGGUGAACGUGCUCGCUGAGGGUCUUCCCCACUAGGACUUAAGCCCCAUGGAGGUCGUGUUUAGGGGAGGGAGAAGAAUCUUCCCUUCCUGGAGAGCUGCCUUGGGGGACAGAAUAAUGAAGAUGCCUCAGUCGCUGGGCUUGCUCAGGCCUCAGGCACCCAGAGUGGCACAGAGCAUCAAGCUGUGCCUCUCGGACACCCAGAUAAACGGCAUCUGAGCUUCCUGCAAAGUCACAGAGCAAAUGUGAAUACAUACAAACCUACCGACCCAUGUCUAAUACCUGGACUUCUGGGUAAACUGGCUCAGACCACGGCAGGAACGUGAUGGAGGCCUGGACAGCAGGACAACAGAGUGCCUAGGACCGGAUUCUCUUUUAGAGACAGUGAAGUAGUCACAAACAACGCGACGUAAUGUAUAUGGGAUUUGCUUCAGAACAACUCAGUAGUGGACGGAAGCACUGAAAGUCGGGAAGAAACAGGGUCAGCCCUGAGGCGGUCAUCAGUGACUCUGGAUCAUGGGUACAUGAGCGCCUGUGCUAUUCUCUC
rnacentral:lncRNA from 1 species